rnacentral:rRNA from 1 species
GUGGGGAAUCUUGCGCAAUGGGCGAAAGCCUGACGCAGCGACGCCGCGUGUGGGAUGAAGGCCUUCGGGUCGUAAACCACUGUCGCGAGGGACGAAUAAAUUGACGGUACCUCGAAAGGAAGCACCGGCUAACUCUGUGCCAGCAGCCGCGGUAAUACAGAGGGUGCGAGCGUUGUCCGGAAUCACUGGGCGUAAAGGGCGCGUAGGUGGCUCUAUAAGUCGGGGGUGAAAUGCUGCGGCUCAACCGCAGCGCUGCCUCCGAGACUGUAGGGCUUGAGCACGGUAGAGGCCGAUGGAAUUCCCGGUGUAGCGGUGGAAUGCGUAGAGAUCGGGAAGAACACCAAUGGCGAAGGCAGUCGGCUGGGCCGUUGCUGACACUGAGGCGCGACAGCGUGGGGAGCAAACAGGAUUAGAAACCCUUGUAGUCC